GCGGGCGUGGCGAAACUGGUAGACGCGCGGGACUUAAAAUCCUGUUUUCUUUACGAAAUUGUGGGUUCGAUCCCCACCGCCCGCA
rnacentral:tRNA from 1 species